GCCGGGAUAGUCGUGG
rnacentral:tRNA from 1 species